AGGGUGCAAGCGUUACUCGGAAUUACUGGGCGUAAAGCGCGCGCAGGCGGUUCUUUAAGUCAGGGGUGAAAGCCCAGAGCUCAACUCUGGAAUUGCCUUUGAAACUAGAGAACUUGAGUACGGGAGAGGUGAGUGGAAUUCCGAGUGUAGAGGUGAAAUUCGUAGAUAUUCGGAAGAACACCAGUGGCGAAGGCGGCUCACUGGCCCGUUACUGACGCUCAGGCGCGACAGCGUGGGGAGCAAACAGG
rnacentral:rRNA from 1 species